UUAUAAACCAACGUGAACUGUUCAUUCGGUGUUUAAAAAAACAUCCCGUGAAUUAAACCCAGAAAAUGGCGCCAGUUUAACUGCAGUGACGGCUGUGAGGGGAAACAUUUACAAACAUGCAAUGGAAAAGUAUCUUUCAGCUGCCACUAUUUGACAACGUGAAAACGAACGACUUCUUCACAACGAAGAAUUGACCUGCGGACUUUCUUACCUCCUCCCACCGGAGACACCGGCGGUCACCACACCCCUCUGACUUUCAG